rnacentral:piRNA from 1 species
UGAAUGUCCGGUAAAUAUCAGACGCUGCC